GACGAACGCUGGCGGCAUGCCUAACACAUGCAAGUCGAGCGAGUUGAUCCCUUCGGGGUGAAGCUAGCGGCGGACGGGUGAGUAACACGUGGGCAACCUGCCUCAUAGAGGGGAAUAGCCUCCCGAAAGGGAGAUUAAUACCGCAUAAUAUUACAGUUUCGCAUGAAACAGUAAUUAAAGGAGUAAUCCGCUAUGAGAUGGACCCGCGGCGCAUUAGCUAGUUGGUGAGGUAACGGCUCACCAAGGCGACGAUGCGUAGCCGACCUGAGAGGGUGAUCGGCCACAUUGGGACUGAGACACGGCCCAGACUCCUACGGGAGGCAGCAGUGGGGAAUAUUGCACAAUGGGGGAAACCCUGAUGCAGCAACGCCGCGUGAGUGAUGACGGUCUUCGGAUUGUAAAGCUCUGUCUUUGGGGACGAUAAUGACGGUACCCAAGGAGGAAGCCACGGCUAACUACGUGCCAGCCGCCGCAGUAACAC
rnacentral:rRNA from 1 species